rnacentral:tmRNA from 1 species
GGGGGUGACUUGGAUUCGACUUCGGUUGUCGAGUCGGGAGAAGCGAGCCGUGGUUGUCGGAGUCCACGUUAAAGAGCCGGCACAAAAACAAACGCCGACAGCAAUGUCGCACUCGCUGCCUAAACAGUAGCGACGUCUGUCCGGUCCCAGCCCUGCGGACCGGUAGCAGACGCCAUCUAGCAGGGCUUACUCCCCAGGCCACGUCGCCGGGCCGGGGGAGGACACCUCAGGCGACUGGAGUCUCAGACCGGUGCUGGUGAAGGUCGAGGCUCGAGAUCCUCACACCGGCUGCGCUCGGAGAAGUCCCGAUGAGGUGCUGAAG